rnacentral:tRNA from 1 species
GGCGGCGUAGCUCAGCGGCAGAGCAGGGGACUCAUAAGCCCUGGGUCACUAGUUCAAAUCUAGUCGCCGCCA